rnacentral:rRNA from 1 species
CCGGUAAUACCAGAUAACGUCUCCGGACCAAAGGUGUGAUUCCACCUGGGGAAGGGCCUGUGGCCUAUCAGCUAGUUGGUGGGGUAAUGGCCCACCAAGGCUAAGACGGGUAUGGGGCGUGAGAGCGUGCCCCCACUCACUGGGACUGAGACACUGCCCAGACACCUACGGGUGGCUGCAGUCGAGAAUCUUCGGCAAUGGGCGAAAGCCUGACCGAGCGACGCCGCGUGCGGGAUGAAGGCCUUCGGGUUGUAAACCGCUGUCGUAGGGGAGGAAGGAUCUGCGAAGAGCAGAACUUGACCGAUCCUAGGAGGAAGGGCCGGCUAAUCUCGUGCCAGCAGCCGCGGUAAUACGAGAGGCCCAAACGUUAUUCGGAAUUACUGGGCUUAAAGAGUUCGUAGGCGGCUUGGAAAGUGGGGUGUGAAAGCCCUCGGCUCAACC